AAACCGAGCGAUCUAUCCAUGAGCAGGUUGAAGAUUGAGUAACAUCAAUUGGAGGACCGAACCAGGAUCUGUUGAAAAAGAUUUGGAUGACUUGUGGAUCGGAGUGAAAGGCUAAUCAAGCUCGGAGAUAGCUGGUUCUCCUCGAAAGCUAUUUAGGUAGCGCCUCACGUAUCACCGCCGGGGGUAGAGCACUGUUUCGGCUAGGGGGUCAUCCCGACUUACCAACCCGAGGCAAACUCCGAAUACCGGUGAGUGCGAGCGUGGGAGACACACAGCGGGUGCUAACGUCCGUUGUGAAAAGGGAAACAACCCAGACCGUCAGCUAAGGUCCCGAAAUCCUGGUUAAGUGGGAAACGAUGUGGGAAGGCUCAGACAGCUAGGAGGUUGGCUUAGAAGCAGCCAUCCUUUAAAGAAAGCGUAAUAGCUCACUAGUCGAGUCGGCCUGCGCGGAAGAUGUAACGGGGCUAAACCAGGUACCGAAGCUACGGGUUCACACUUAGGUGUGAGCGGUAGAGGAGCGUCGUGUACGCCGAUGAAGGUGAAUUGAGAAGUUCGCUGGAGGUAUCACGAGUGCGAAUGCUGACAUGAGUAACGAUAAAGGGAGUGAAAAACUCCCUCGCCGGAAGACCAAGGGUUUCUGUUCGACGCUAAUCGGAGCAGAGUGAGUCGGCCCCUAAGGCGAGGCCGAAAGGCGUAGUCGAUGGGAAACGGGUCAAUAUUCCCGUACCGGACAUGAUUGCGAUGGGGGGACGAAGAAGGCUAGGUGAGCCAGGCGUUGGUAGUCCUGGUGAAAGUCGGUAGGCUGAGGGCUCAGGUAAAUCCGGGCGCUCAAGGCCGAGAGACGAGACGAAGACACCACGGUGUUGAAGUCAUCGAUGCCACGCUUCCAGGAAAAGCCUCUAAGCUUCAGAUCAUGUGCGACCGUACCCCAAACCGACACAGGUGGUCAGGGUGAGAAUCCCAAGGCGCUUGAGAGAACUCGGGUGAAGGAACUAGGCAAAAUGGUGCCGUAACUUCGGGAGAAGGCACGCCGGCGUAUUGUGAGAGCCCUCGCGGCUUCAGCGAGAACCGGUCGAAGAUACCAGGUGGCUGCAACUGUUUAGUAAAAACACAGCACUCUGCUAACGCGUAAGCGGACGUAUAGGGUGUGACGCCUGCCCGGUGCCGGAAGGUUAAGUGAUGGUGUUAGCCGUAAGGCGAAGCUCUUGAUCGAAGCCCCGGUAAACGGCGGCCGUAACUAUAACGGUCCUAAGGUAGCGAAAUUCCUUGUCGGGUAAGUUCCGACCUGCACGAAUGGCGUAAUGAUGGCCACGCUGUCUCCACCCGAGACUCAGUGAAAUUGAAAUCGCCGUGAAGAUGCGGUGUACCCGCGGCUAGACGGAAAGACCCCGUGAACCUUUACUAUAGCUUCACACUGGACGCUGAUGUUGCCUGUGUAGGAUAGCUGGGAGGCUUAGAAACCCGGACGCCAGUUCGGGUGGAGCCAGCCUUGAAAUACCAGCCUGGCAUCAUUGGCGUUCUCACUCAGGUCCGUUAUCCGGAUCGAGGACAGUGUGUGGUGGGUAGUUUGACUGGGGCGGUCUCCUCCCAAAGCGUAACGGAGGAGCACGAAGGUACCCUCAGCACGGUCGGACAUCGUGCAAUGAGUGCAAGAGCAUAAGGGUGCUUGACUGCGAGACAGACACGUCGAGCAGGUGCGAAAGCAGGUUCUAGUGAUCCGGUGGUUCUGUAUGGAAGGGCCAUCGCUCAACGGAUAAAAGGUACUCCGGGGAUAACAGGCUGAUACCGCCCAAGAGUUCACAUCGACGGCGGUGUUUGGCACCUCGAUGUCGGCUCAUCACAUCCUGGGGCUGAAGUCGGUCCCAAGGGUAUGGCUGUUCGCCAUUUAAAGUGGUACGCGAGCUGGGUUUAGAACGUCGUGAGACAGUUCGGUCCCUAUCUGCCGUGGGCGUUGGAUGUUUGAGAAGGGCUGCUCCUAGUACGAGAGGACCGGAGUGGACGCACCUCUGGUGUUCCGGUUGUCACGCCAGUGGCAUUGCCGGGUAGCUAUGUGCGGACGGGAUAACCGCUGAAAGCAUCUAAGCGGGAAGCCCCCUUCAAGAUGAGACAUCCCUGAGGCCUAGAGCCUCCUGAAGGGCCCAGCGAGACCAGCUGGUUGAUAGGCACGGUGUGGACGCGCUGCAAGGCGUUGAGCUAACGUGUACUAAUGGCCCGUGAGGCUUGACCCU
rnacentral:rRNA from 1 species